rnacentral:rRNA from 1 species
ACACGUAGGAGGCAAGCGUUAUCCGGAUUUACUGGGCGUAAAGCGCGUGCAGGCGGUCUGGUAAGUUGGAUGUGAAAGCUCCCGGCUCAACUGGGAGAGGUCGUUCAAAACUGCCGGACUAGAGGACGGUAGAGGGAGGUGGAAUUCCCGGUGUAGUGGUGAAAUGCGUAGAUAUCGGGAGGAACACCAGUGGCGAAGGCGGCCUCCUGGGCCGUUCCUGACGCUAAGACGCGAAAGCGUGGGGAGCGAACGGGAUUAGAAACCCCAGUAGUCC